rnacentral:rRNA from 1 species
CCUACGGGAGGCAGCAGUGAGGAAUAUUGGUCAAUGGGCGAGAGCCUGAACCAGCCAAGUCGCGUGAGGGAGUACUGCCCUAUGGGUUGUAAACCUCUUUUGUCGGGGAGCAAAAGCCGGACGUGUCCGGCUGUGAGAGUACCCGAGGAAAAAGCAUCGGCUAACUCCGUGCCAGCAGCCGCGGUAAUACGGAGGAUGCGAGCGUUAUCCGGAUUUAUUGGGUUUAAAGGGUGCGCAGGCGGAUUGUUAAGUCAGCGGUAAAAUCGUGGGGCUCAACCCCAUCCAGCCGUUGAAACUGGGGAUCUAGAGUGUGCGAGAGGUAUGCGGAAUGCGUGGUGUAGCGGUGAAAUGCAUAGAUAUCACGCAGAACCCCGAUUGCGAAGGCAGCAUACCGGUGCACAACUGACGCUCAGACACGAAAGCGUGGGUAUCGAACAGGAUUAGAUACCCCAGUAGUC